GCGGCCCCUUUCAAUCUCAGUAUUAAUUUCUUAUUACAAACUCCAAUCGUAUGGCUCUCGAGGUCCAUCUUCUUCCUCUAUCUUAUAUUAUGCAGAAAUUACUGUCUUUGAAGUCUACUUCCCUCCAUAGGUGAAAUCUGCUUCUAUUGAUUAAGUUAUCGCGUGAAUGUAUCUGCGCAUAUUCAUGGAGUUGUACUGCAGUUGCCAAGGAAGCCAUGGAAGUUCAUGAUUGUUCAUUGCACUUUGUACAAGAAGUGGAAGACAUUGUCGUCUCCAUGAGGUUUGACAAGAAUCAAAGAGUAAUGUUUUCUUGAAUGGGAAUGAAAGUACCCAAAAUAUUCCCACCCACAUCAGGGAACGUUUCACAGCCCGGAAUUGACCUAACUUUGCCAUUCCAAUCAACCUGAACUGGAUACUUAAGCAGGUGUCCUGUCAUCUCAAUUAAAUCCUCACCAGCAUAUAGCCUCCAGUUAUGUUCACCCAUUGCUCUCACCCGUUGAACACACUCGAUGUUCUCGGGCUGCACGAAACAGUCCUCCACGACUCCAGUGUGCUCUGCCCAUAGUGACAUUCUGUAACCAUAGAUCUGAACAACCAAAUUUAGGGUUAGUUUCAUUGAACGUAUUGCAGGCCAUAGAGAGAAUUGUUUUUUAGAAACCUGUUUGAUUAGGCUUAUUCAUAACAUCGAUUCUUAGACGUGUGAACUUUUACCUGACCAAACGGUUUAGAUCCUUUCUUCGCCCAAGUGAACUGAGGUUGAUAUGCACCCAUUGCAAUUUCAGUAUCUCUCGACCCAUCUAAUGAACGCUGGUUUAUGUUUGCAGAUCCCAAUAUCACAUACUCAUCGUCCACUAUCAUUCCUUUCGAGUGAACAUAAAUCAUAAACCGUCGGUUCUUUUGUGCUAGAAACUGAAAAACAUUAAUUUAGAAUAAGUUUAACACUGCGAAGAUACUAUACAUACAAAAAAUUACUGAUAGGAAAAAGGGAAGAGUGAUUUACUUGAGGACUGUUUUUGGGUACGUGUUUUCCUACAUCUGAAACAUCACCCACUUCUUGUGUUUCUCGAUUUCCGAGGCAGAAGAAAUUCAAGUAGUCUUGAGGCUCAUACUGAUUGUCGAGCCCUACCUCUUGUAAAGCAUUAUAAAUUACAUCAUACAUCAUUUGCAUUGUUUUAUUCUGCAUAACAUAAUUGUUGUGUAUUUAGUAUAAAACAUUAACUAACAAUUAUAAGUACUGUUAAUGGAAUUUGGAAUUUCAACCUGCCAGUAGAGAAUUCUUUGUGUAACCUUAUGAGUAGAACCACCUUCUGGAUACAUUGGAAUGACAAUAUAAGCAGCAAAUCUUUGCUUUCCUCUGAUUUUGUUUGCAAUCUUUAGAGCUAUUUCCAUCGGUAUGAGAUUGUUAAUGCCUUUGUCUUUGUGAUUUUCCCAGUUAUACGACGAUCCAAGGAAAUAUUGAUUUUCGAUGUAGAUAAAAUGUUGUGCAGAUCGAAUUGCCUUCACGUAUGCUGAAUGUAUGCUCAUGUCUAUCAGUACAUUCUUACCACAUGCCAAGUUCUGUCACAUAACAAUCAAGAUACAUCAAUAAAAGCGUAACUUGGAAACACUUUUCUAUCUGGAUCAGGGGCGCCAAUAAAUUUGUAUAUACAGAUCCAUAUAUGUCUGGGUCUUUUGGGAAUCCCUUGACAGAGUUGGAAUCAAUUGAUCUGAAGAUCUGAAGGAGAAGUUGAAGAAAGCAAACAGGACUUAGAGAUCUUGGACAAAGCAACACUUUUACCGAAGAAUGUUUGAAAAAUUGUCGAGUCACUUCAUCGCUGGUUUUCAUUAUCCCUUCCUAUCAAAAUGCACAUUAAUUAGGCCUAGUUCAAAUUUAAUAAAAGUAAAACUAACUUAAUUUCAUCGUCCCUUACUAUCAAAAUGCACAUCAUUUAGGCCUAGUUCAAAUUUAAUAAAAGUAAAACUAACUUCAUUUCAUCGUUCACAUUAUUGUGUGAAAUAUCUUAUAUUUCUUUUAACUUAUUUGGCUCAAAUAAAUAAUAUUUACCUUUUUUAUUCCCAAAAGGCUAUGAGAAGUAGGAUCGUCCCAAACGAGAAGCAAUACUCUCACGCCUUCCUGCGAUUUUCUUAUGAGGAGAUCUCCUAAGCUUAAAUCUCUUUU